AGUGAACGCUGGCGGUAGGCCUAACACAUGCAAGUCGAACGGCAGCACAGUAAGAGCUUGCUCUUACGGGUGGCGAGUGGCGGACGGGUGAGGAAUACAUCGGAAUCUACUUUUUCGUGGGGGAUAACGUAGGUAAACUUACGCUCUUACAGCAUACGACCUACGGGUGAAAGCAUGGGAUCUUCGGACCUUGCGCGAUUGAAUGAGCCGCUGUCGGAUUAGCUAGUUGGCGGGGUAAAGGCCAACCAAGGCGACGAUUCGUUGCUGGUCUGAGAGGAUGGUCAGCCACACUGGAACGGAGACACGGUCCAGACGACUACGGGAGGCAGCAGUGGGGAAUAUUGGACAAUGGGCGCAAGCCUGAUCCAGCCAUACCGCGUGUGUGAAGAAGGCGUUCGGGUUGUAAAGCCCUUUUGUUGGGAAAGAAAAGCAGCAGGUUAAGACGCAGCUGUUCUGACGGUACCCAAAGAAUAAGCACCGGCUAACUUCGUG
rnacentral:rRNA from 1 species